rfam:Salmo salar isolate Sally breed double haploid chromosome ssa15, whole genome shotgun sequence.
UGGCUCAGUUGGUAAAGCAUGGUGUUUGCAACACCAGGGAUGUGGGUUUGAUUCCCAU